rnacentral:rRNA from 1 species
ACAAACGCUGGCGGCGUGCUUAACACAUGCAAGUCGCACGGAAAGGCCCUGCUUUUGUGGGGUGCUCGAGUGGCGAACGGGUGAGUAACACGUGAGUAACCUGCCCUUGACUUUGGGAUAACUUCAGGAAACUGGGGCUAAUACCGGAUAGGAGCUCCUGCUGCAUGGUGGGGGUUGGAAAGUUUCGGCGGUUGGGGAUGGACUCGCGGCUUAUCAGCUUGUUGGUGGGGUAGUGGCUUACCAAGGCUUUGACGGGUAGCCGGCCUGAGGGGGUGACCGGCCACAUUGGGACUGAGAUACGGCCCAGACUCCUACGGGAGGCAGCAGUGGGGAAUAUUGCACAAUGGACGGAAGCCUGAUGCAGCAACGCCGCGUGCGGGAUGACGGCCUUCGGGUUGUAAACCGCUUUCGCCUGUGACGAAGCGUGAGUGACGGUAAUGGGUAAAGAAGCACCGGCUAACUACGUG